CCUUUUUCAUUCACAGUUUUCUCGGAUUCAUUCAUCUUCCCAGCCUCAAUUUUCUCUCUCAUCACACAUACCCAUUUCUCAUUCCCAAAUUCUGCACUGAUUUUUUGUUCUUUCAUCUCUUUUUUGAAUUUGGGUUCUGGGUUUUUCUUUUCAACAAUACAUGUAAAAAUUGUGUAUAAUGGGUCAGCAAACAUUGAUCUAUAGCGUUGUUGCAAGGGGAACCGUUAUAUUACCCUAGUACACAAAAUUUCACCAGCAUAGCAUCGCAAUUGAUGAAGAAACUGCCUGCAUCAAAGAACAAAUUUACUUACAAUUGCGAUGACCACACCUUCAAUUCCCUUUUGGAAAUGGAUUCAGUAUGUACCCACAAUGUCCUUUCUUUACCUUUGAUUUUGUGAAAUUUAAUUUUUAUAUCAUUUUUUGUUUGUCUUAUGCCCAUUUUGAUUUAAUUUUAACUUGAUUUCAUGUAUCUUAUUUUCCUUUUGUCUUAUGUUAUUAUGCGUUUAUUAUGUAGAACUGGAAAUGAUUAUGAAAAAAUUCAAGUGUAGUAAAGAAAGAUGUAUGUAUAUGGAAUAGGUUUCAUUAGUGUGGCAUAUGAAUGUGUGAUUUUAUUUGAUAAUUGUAAUGUGUAUGCUUGGGUUUCAGAGCUCGAAAGUGAUGAAAUUUAUGCAAUCACUUGUGGAUUUAAUACGUAUGUGGUUGAAACGUGGAAUGAAACGCUCACGUUUGCUUUUAUCGAAACGGGCAAAUACAUAUAUGUUUGUGUGGGCGUCUUCAUCUUGUAUAUCAGUGGAUUGAGUAAUGAUUUAAAGAAGUUGAGAAAUUUUAAUGAAAUAAUAGAGUUCUGUCUAUAAUUCAUUUCUUUUUCAAAUUUUGCAGGCACCUAGCACCUUCUAGUGUCAUUUGAGAUGAAUUGUUUAUUUGAGCCAUACUGAAGUACUCGAAUCGAUCUGUACUUCGGUUGUUUUCUCAUUACAUGAAUUCUUAUGGUUGAAAUGGUAUUGACAUUCUUUUUCUUUCUGUUUUUUUUCUCAAUCGUUUUUGUUUUAAUCAAUUUGGUUGGAGAGUAGUCAACUUUUAUUCUUGUGACAAUAAAACAAGAAAGUAUAGAUUUUACGUUUGAUUGACUGCAUUGUCCUGAUGUGUUAUUUCUCAAAAGCGAAGAAUUUAGACCUAAAAUGAAGAAUGUUAUGUUGAUUCAUUUCUAGAUCGAAUAUAUAGAUUUAUUUUCAUAAGCUUCUGAUAGGAACCCGAUUUGUAUUGUAUUGUUGUAUUUAUAUAUUGCUUGGCAUGUAGCCUUUCCCUUAAAUUUCUCAGUUUAGUUUCCUAACAAACUACUAAUUAUGUAAAUAAAUCUUGAUGUUGUGCAGCAGAGCUACACAUAUCAGGGCCUAUCAGCUCCAUAGAGCGCUUGACAUACCAUUGUAUAUUGUGGUAUGUCGUUGGCAUCUUAAGAAGAGAAGUCGCAUUAUUUCCAUUUCAAAUCUUUAUUUAUUUAAAUUGUACAGAAGGGUUAACUAAGAUGAAUAAAAUUGCAGAAUUUUUGUUUUUUUAUUGUUUUUGAAGUCCAUAAUUCUUGUCAUUUAGAUGGCAUCUAAUCUAAGAUUUAUAUAACUUGGAUAUUUAAGCAUUUUUCUUCGCGUAAUUGCUUUUUCACCAUUUAUAAGUCACUUUUCAGUUUUUGUGGGCUUUGCCAAACACUGUGUUAUUGUAGGCCAAAUUUGAAAGAGCAUAUGUAGUACUGCAUUGAUCAUCCCGAAGAAAUUAAGGCCCUGUUCUCUUUACCGUUUUCGGGCCGUUUUCUGUUUUCAAUUUUUCAAAACGGUGAAAACGUGUUCUCUUUCCCGUUUUCGAAAACGAAUUUUCGAAAACGAAAAAAAAAUUUGUGAAGAAAACACAAAACGACUUUUUUGUCGUUUUGGGCGUUUUCAGUGUAAAACUUGAAAAAACUGAAAACGCGGGAAACACCCUUUUUUUUUUUUUUUCGGAGGUGGUAUGGUGAUUCUCAAAAUUUCAAAAAAAA
rnacentral:lncRNA from 1 species